rnacentral:rRNA from 1 species
UAAGGAAUAUUGGUCAAUGGACGCAAGUCUGAACCAGCCAUGCCGCGUGAAGGAUGAAGGUCCUCUGGAUUGUAAACUUCUUUUAUAGGGGGCGAAAAAAGGGAAAUCUUUCUCACUUGACAGUACCCUAUGAAUAAGCACCGGCUAACUCCGUGCCAGCAGCCGCGGUAAUACGGAGGGUGCAAGCGUUAUCCGGAUUCACUGGGUUUAAAGGGUGCGUAGGCGGGCGUAUAAGUCAGUGGUGAAAUCCUGGAGCUUAACUCCAGAACUGCCAUUGAUACUAUAUGUCUUGAAUAUGGUGGAGGUAAGCGGAAAUAUGUCAUGUAGCGGUGAAAUGCAUAGAUAUGACAUAGAACACCUAUUGCGAAGGCAGCUUACUACGCCUAUAUUGACGCUGAGGCACGAAAAGCGUGGGGAUCAAAACAGGAUUUAGAUACCCUGGUAGCCCCACGCCCUAAAACGAUGAUUACUCGACGUGUGCGAUAAACGGUACGCGUCUGAGCGAAAAGCAUUAAGUAAUCCACCUGGGGAAAGUACGACCGCAAGGUUGAAAACUUAAAUGAAAUUGACGGGGGUCAUAGCUGUUUCCUG